GACGUAGGGGGCGAGCGUUGUCCGGAAUCACUGGGCGUAAAGGGCGCGUAGGCGGCCGCGUGUGUCUGGCGUAAAAUACCACGGCUCAACCGUGGGAAUGCGCUGGAAACUACGUGGCUUGGGUGCGGCAGAGGCAGACGGAACUGCUGGUGUAGGGGUGAAAUCCGUAGAUAUCAGCAGGAACGCCGGUGGAGAAGUCGGUCUGCUGGGCCGUAACCGACGCUGAGGCACGAAAGCUAGGGGAGCGAACCGG
rnacentral:rRNA from 1 species